AGGUCCCCGCUUCAGUGCCUUUAGUUAAAUCAGGGUGUGUGCACUAGGGUCGAGCAGGCUCCUUUCCCCAGUUGCGGUCGCGCCCUUGCUUCAGGAUGAGGCACGGAACGACCCACGCCUGCGGUCCUGCCCCGGGAUCCUGAAGGGCGGCAAACACGGUUGGCCCCGCAGGCGCUCACCCCGCCCUCCCCUCUGGCUGUUCCCUAUCUGGAGUGACUUAGAGGAGAGAAGCAGUGUGGUGCAGUGGGCCAUCUGACUUCAUGGAUCAGACAAAGGGAAUCGUUGCCUUCUACAUCCGGAUGUUGGCCCCUAAACGGCACACCUCUGCAUGUUCAACAGCAGUGGCAGCAGCUUCAGCAAACAUCAGCAUCACAGUUGCCAUUCAGCAGAUUGGAAAUUAUCAGAGUCAUAUCUAAUAACUGCAGUGAGACCUGUUGUCCAAUAUAGCAGCCACCAGUGACUUGUGAUUGAUGAACUCAUGAAAUAUGGCUG